rnacentral:rRNA from 1 species
AGAGUUUGAUCCUGGCUCAGGACGAACGCUGGCGGCGUGCUUAACACAUGCAAGUCGAACGGUGAAGUCCCUUCGGGGGCGGAUCAGUGGCGAACGGGUGAGUAACACGUGGGCAAUCUGCCCCUCACUGUGGGAUAACUCCGGGAAACCGGGGCUAAUACCGCAUAUGAAGCCUGGCGGCAUCGCCGGGUUUGGAAAGUUUUUCGGUGAGGGAUGAGCCCGCGGCCUAUCAGCUUGUUGGUGAGGUAAUGGCUCACCAAGGCGACGACGGGUAGCCGGCCUGAGAGGGCGACCGGCCACACUGGGACUGAGACACGGCCCAGACUCCUACGGGAGGCAGCAGUGGGG